ACUGGCAGCCGGAUGGUAGGCGGGACCUGCCAUUCGGUGGGAGCCAAUCAGUAUCGACCAACGUGGGCGCAACCAAUCAGAUAUAACUGCACCCAAACGCUUCAGUAAUGGUUGCGAUUGAUCAAACGUUGCCAGAUGCUGUCCUGUUGGAAAUUCUUCUUUACGUGAUCCUGGAGGAGGGGUGAUGCUACAUUACUAAGUCCGUCUUUGGUUUGUUCCAAAUUCAGAAGUCUGCUGUACUGUAUACAGACUCCUUUCAAAAGAGGGCACAAUCCAGCUGGCUUGACUGAGUAUCUUCUUUUACAUAUUUGAUUAGAGGUUUAAAAAGGUGCCAUAACAUUACAUUUCUCAGUUGCCAUGUCUGAAUGUUUAUCUUUGUAAUAAUGCUGUUUUCAUGCUCCUCAUCUCAAUAUACAGGUGGAACAAAAUGGAGAACAAGUCUAAGCCAUGUCAGGAAUUCAACAAAAUGUACACCCUGCAGACACUGCGACGAGGUUUACAACAACUGCUUACCAGGUCACUGCAGUCACCCGGAUCCAGUAUGUAUUCAGACCAGAUGGUGGAUCGCACCUAGAAAGGACCUCUACAGCCCUGAAAGACAGCGGAG